UCUUCCGCAAUGGACGAAAGUCUGACGGAGCAACGCCGCGUGAGUGAAGAAGGCCUUCGGGUCGUAAAACUCUGUUGCCGGGGAAGAACACGUGCCGUUCGAACAGGGCGGCACCUUGACGGUACCCGGCCAGAAAGCCCCGGCCAACUACGUGCCAGCCGCCGCGGUAAUACGUAGUUGGCAAGCGUUGUCCGGAAUUUUUGGGCGUAAAGCGCGCGCAGGCGGCUUCUUAAGUCUGAUGUGAAAUCGUGCGGCUCAACCGCAAGCGGUCAUUGGAAACUGGGAGGCUUGAGUGCAGAAGAGGAGAGUGGAAUUCCACGUGUAGCGGUGAAAUGCGUAGAGAUGUGGAGGAACACCAGUGGCGAAGGCGGCUCUCUGGUCUGUAACUGACGCUGAGGCGCGAAAGCGUGGGGAGCAAACAGG
rnacentral:rRNA from 1 species